rnacentral:lncRNA from 1 species
GUGUAAGCUGGGCCUGGACCACUCCAUCCCCCACUGUGUUACCAGGUACCUGCCCCUGCUGCUGGUCCUCAUGGUCAACCCCAUCCUGUUCAGAAAGACAGUGAUUGCAAGUUCUGAUGCCAGCACAUUUGAAAUCCAUACUGCAAGUGAAUCCUGCAACAAAAAUAAGGGUGACCCUGCUUGCCAAACCCACAGAAACCUGUGA